rnacentral:rRNA from 1 species
CCUACGGGAGGCUGCAGUGGGGAAUAUUGCGCAAUGGGCGAAAGCCUGACGCAGCGACGCCGCGUGAGGGAUGAAGGUCUUCGGAUCGUAAACCUCUGUCGGCAGGGAAGAACGGUCACUGUGCUAAUCAGCAGUGAAUUGACGGUACCUGCAAAGGAAGCACCGGCUAACUCCGUGCCAGCAGCCGCGGUAAUACGGAGGGUGGGAGCGUUAAUCGGAAUUACUGGGCGUAAAGCGCUCGUAGGCGGUAUGUCAAGUCAAGGGUGAAAUCCCCGCGCUCAACGUGGGAACUGCCUUUGAAACUGGCAAACUGGAGUGUGUGCGAGGAUAGUGGAAUUCCAGGUGUAGGAGUGAAAGCCGUAGAUAUCUGGAGGAACAUCAGUGGCGAAGGCGACUAUCUGGCACAUAACUGACGCUGAGGAGCGAAAGCGUGGGUAGCAAACAGGAUUAGAUACCCUAGUAGUC